rnacentral:rRNA from 1 species
CCUACGGGGGGCAGCAGUGGGGAAUAUUGCACAAUGGGGGAAACCCUGAUGCAGCGACGCCGCGUGAGUGAAGAAGUAUUUCGGUAUGUAAAGCUCUAUCAGCAGGGAAGAAAAUGACGGUACCUGAGUAAGAAGCCCCGGCUAACUACGUGCCAGCAGCCGCGGUAAUACGUAGGGGGCAAGCGUUAUCCGGAUUUACUGGGUGUAAAGGGAGCGUAGACGGCAGCGCAAGUCUGGAGUGAAAGGCCGGGGCUUAACCCCGGAACUGCUUUGGAAACUGUGCAGCUAGAGUGCAGGAGAGGUAAGUGGAAUUCCUAGUGUAGCGGUGAAAUGCGUAGAUAUUAGGAGGAACACCAGUGGCGAAGGCGGCUUACUGGACUGUAACUGACGUUGAGGCUCGAAAGCGUGGGGAGCAAACAGGAUUAGAUACCCCAGUAGUC